ACCGAAACCUGUCAUUUAAAAGUGACUGUGCGAAACAACUGAAACCAAACGACAAUUGGCAUUAUGAACUUUAUCCUGGAGUAAUGCUUGGGAAUCCCUAGAAGUGUGUUUUAACUGCGGACAAAGUCAAAAAGGCUCCCCAGUUUUCCCAGCACUUCGGCCAUGAUGAGACACCGACGAAAUGGAAGACACCGAUAGGACCAGCCCCUGAGUUGGAAUGGAAUUGCUCUGCAUUCUUGGGUGGCGCCAGCAUCUUUGAGGAUAGAGACAAUGGUCUCUACAGCAGAACUCAACAGUA